rnacentral:misc_RNA from 1 species
GUGAAUCAUCGAAUUUUUGAACGCAAAUUGCACUCUCUGCUGAUAGUAUGCCUGUUCGUGUGUCAGUAUAAAUAAAAAUCGAGGUGUUGCUUAUGGUUACGCCAUCGGAAUUGGGUUAUCUUUAAUCUUAAUAAAGGUUUAAAGUCACCUAAAUUUGACGAUACCUUGUUCAUCUCAAAACGGACAUAAGAAUUUUUUUUUUUUCCGUCCGGAGUUUUCCAAAUCUUUAUUAGGUAUGACCAUGAUCGUUUGUUGCAUUUGUGCCUAUAAUUUUAACUCAUAUUUUGACCUCAAAUCAUGU